UUGAACGCUGGCGGCAUGCCUAACACAUGCAAGUCGAACGGCAGCACAGCAGUAGCAAUACUGUGGUGGCGAGUGGCGGACGGGUGAGGAAUACGUCGGAAUCUGCCCAGUCGUGGGGGAUAACUAGCCGAGAGGUUAGCUAAUACCGCAUACGACCGAGAGGUGAAAGCGGGGACCGCAAGGCCUCGCGCGAUUGGAUGAGCCGACGUCGGAUUAGCUAGUUGGCGGGUAAAGGCCCACCAAGGCGACGAUCCGUAGCUGGUCUGAGAGGAUGAUCAGCCACACUGGAACUGAGACACGGUCCAGACUCCUACGGAGGCAGCAGUGGGGAAUAUUGGACAAUGGGCGCAAGCCUGAUCCAGCAAUGCCGCGUGUGUGAAGAAGGCCUUCGGGUUGUAAAGCACUUUUAUCAGGAACGAAAAGCGUUGGAUUAAUACUCUGACGUGCUGACGGUACCUGAGGAAUAAGCACCGGCUAACUUCGUG
rnacentral:rRNA from 1 species